rnacentral:lncRNA from 10 species
GUAAUCGAUCCACGGAAGGGGGAAUUGCGGCUUGGGGUCGCUCUGCUGGUUCGCUAGGCUCCUCUCUCAGUGUCGUCGUUUUCUUAGAUUUCUUUCAUCUUUUUCUGCCAGGCGACCUAAGUCUUCUCCGAAGGAUAAUUGGCCCAUCUCAGAAGCAAUGGAUAUCAAUCUGGGAAUUAAAUUAGCCGGGCGUGGGGGCGCGCGCCUGUAGUCCCAGCUGGUUGGAAGGCUAAGGCCGGAGAAUCGCUUGAACUCGGGAGGCAGAGG